UACGUAGGGGGCAAGCGUUGUCCGGAUUUAUUGGGCGUAAAGAGCGUGUAGGCGGCUUGGAAGGUCAGCUGUGAAAACUCGAGGCUCAACCUCGAGACGUCGGUUGAAACCACCUGGCUAGAGUCCGGAAGAGGAGAGUGGAAUUCCUGGUGUAGCGGUGAAAUGCGCAGAUAUCAGGAGGAACACCGGUGGCGAAGGCGCUGCUCUGGGCCGGUACUGACGCUGAGGAGCGAAAGCGUGGGUAGCAAACAGG
rnacentral:rRNA from 1 species